GACGUAGGGCGCGAGCGUUGUCCGGAUUUAUUGGGCGUAAAGAGCUCGUAGGCGGCUUGUUGCGUCGACUGUGAAAACCUGCGGCUCAACCGUGUGGUCUGCAGUCGAUACGGGCAGGCUGGAGUUCGGUAGGGGAGACUGGAAUUCCUGGUGUAGCGGUGAAAUGCGCAGAUAUCAGGAGGAACACCGGUGGCGAAGGCGGUUCUCUGGGCCUGUACUGACGCUGAGGAACGAAAGCGUGGGGAGCGAACAGG
rnacentral:rRNA from 1 species